rnacentral:rRNA from 1 species
AUUGAACGCUGGCGGCAGGCCUAACACAUGCAAGUCGAGCGGAUGAGGAGAGCUUGCUCUCUGAUUUAGCGGCGGACGGGCGAGUAAUGCCUAGGAAUCUGCCUGGUAGUGGGGGAUAACGUUCCGAAAGGAACGCUAAUACCGCAUACGUCCUACGGGAGAAAGCAGGGGACCUUCGGGCCUUGCGCUAUCAGAUGAGCCUAGGUCGGAUUAGCUAGUUGGUGAGGUAAUGGCUCACCAAGGCGACGAUCCGUAACUGGUCUGAGAGGAUGAUCAGUCACACUGGAACUGAGACACGGUCCAGACUCCUACGGGAGGCAGCAGUGGGGAAUAUUGGACAAUGUGCGAAAGCCUGAUCCAGCCAUGCCGCGUGUGUGAAGAAGGUCUUCGGAUUGUAAAGCACUUUAAGUUGGGAGGAAGGGUUGUAGAUUAAUACUCUGCGAUUUUGACGUUACCAACAGAAUAAGCACCGGCUAACUUCGUGCCAGCCGCCGCAGUAAAAC